rnacentral:rRNA from 1 species
CCUACGGGAGGCAGCAGUGAGGAAUAUUGGUCAAUGGGCGCAAGCCUGAACCAGCCAAGUCGCGUGCAGGAUGACGGCCCUACGGGUUGUAAACUGCUUUUGUACGGGGGUAACACCCUCCACUUGUGGCGGGCUGCAGGUACCGUGCGAAUAAGGAUCGGCUAACUCCGUGCCAGCAGCCGCGGUAAUACGGAGGAUUCGAGCGUUAUCCGGAUUUAUUGGGUUUAAAGGGGGCGUAGGCGGGCGGUCAAGUCAGCUGGAAAAUCCCGGGGCUCAACCCCGGCCCGCCGUUGAGACUGGAGGUCUUGAGUUGACUAGAGGUAGGCGGAAUGCGUGGUGUAGCGGUGAAAUGCAUAGAGAUCACGCAGAACCCCGAUUGCGAAGGCAGCAUACCGGCGUGCGACUGACGUUGAGGCACGAAAGCGUGGGGAUCAAACAGGAUUAGAUACCCUGGUAGUC